GAGUCUAACAGCCGCCGUACUAUUUUGGUUGAGAUUGGCCUUGGAGCUAUAUAUAAAGAUACACACUCGCGGCUAGACACACGUGGACAACUGUCACCUUGCUCCUUCAUGGCAGAAAGGCAGAGCGAGCCAUGCACCAGAACAAGUCACAGCCUUUGAAAUAGCUCUGUUGUAUUAAGAUCACCACAGCCCAGGAGGAGCAAAAAAUAAUUCUCAUCCGAUACCGUGGCUGGUUCUCUUAAUCCCCGGCCCCAGAGAAAGGAACCGGUGAAGAGAACUGAGAGUUUGGGACUGUAAAACUGAAAACUCCCCCAGAACCUUCUUUCAACAGAGAACCUGCUGAGGAGACAGCACACAGCCAGGAUGAGCGAGGUGUCUGUCCUGGAGAGAACCACCUUCCUACUCCUGCUUUGCCUUUGUACAGGCUCUGCAGAUGAUGCUGCCCCGGGCGUGUAUCAGUCCCCGCCCUGCAUCGUUGCGGCUGUGGGGUCGGAGCCCAUUAUGGAGUGCAGGUUCCCUCCCAUGGAGGCAAGCGAAAUAGGUUUUAUCUCAUGGUACAAAGAGAAGAGGAAACUGAGCCCCUCAGACAGGCCCUUCAGGCAGUCUGAAAACCUCACCGCAGGGUCUGUUUCUCUCCAGCUACCCCAUGUGCAGGCUCAGGACGCUGGAGUCUAUACCUGUGAGGUGGGGAAUAUCACCCACAGCUCUCCCGGGAAUGGCACAAAACUGGAAGUUCGCGGUAAGCAGGUCCCAGCCUGAGCAGUGAGUUUCCUUUACCCAUUUCUCCUUGCCAGUGGACGAGCUGCAGCGUGGGAGUGGAGGGGGCAUUGCAGGGAGGUAAUGUGGGACGGCUGGAUGGUGGGUAAACUAUGGCUGGGGAG
ensembl:lncRNA